UAAAAGGGUGUCUGCCGUACUGAGUGGCACGCGGGACUGUGUCCUGUGGGGUAUGGCUAUCAAGACAUACCCGGCACAUAAGUUUUAGGAUUUAGGGGAAGUUUUUAUGCUUACCGCUUGAACGCCCCU